rnacentral:misc_RNA from 1 species
AAGUCGUAACAAGGUCUCCGUUGGUGAACCAGCGGAGGGAUCAUUACUGAGUUUUCUAAACUCCCAAACCCUUGAGAACAUACCUCGGUUGCCUCGGCGGAAGCGUCGCCCUGGGAUGGCCUACCCUGUAGCGCCUUACCCUGGGCGGCGCCCCCCGCCGGUGGUCUUCUAAACUCUGUUUUAUUGUGUCACUUCUGAGGAUUAUUAUAAAAUUAGUUAAAACUUUCAACAACGGAUCUCUUGGUUCUG